CUUGUAUUUAACUUCAGUAAAAACAGAAGAUUUACUUCUUCUAAGUUUUUGGAAACUGAUCUCAUGUUCCAGCCCAGUAGGGCUUACUCCCAGGAAAUUGGACCUAGUGUUUAUAAUACCUCUUUCUGCUUUGGAAUGAAUUAGAGAGUGGCCAAAAUUUUGAACCAGAGAGAACAGAGAAGGCAUGUAGACUUGUAAACAAAAUAUGCCCGUUUUCUCCCUUUUAGUGAACUUUGAUCUCUGCGUGAAAGCUUCCUCCCCAUCUGUUCUGAGACUCUGCUUCUUUUUGAUGCUGAGAAGGUACAGCAAAAAUUAUUACAUAGUCAGUUGAUCCCAUAAUGGGUCAAAUAGUUCCAGCUGUUGGCCAGUUUCUUGAGAAGUUGGACAACUCCAACCUUGAACACAAUGCUAUGUAAAGGUAUGCCCUGAUCCAGAUGGUGUAAAAGCAAGCUAUGUGUCAUCAAAUCACUCUUCCGUGUGAUAUUAACCAUCAGUCCAAAUGCUUAUGUGGUAAUGUUUGGUAUCUGACAUUUUAUGGUGAUUCAGUUUUGUCUUCAGUCUUUUGUCAUAACUAAGAUAUUUAUCACAGUGUCAAUUUCAGGACACUGUUUUAUUAAUCCCCUUAAAAACAAUUUUAGGCUGACCCAUCCUACUACUGUAUAAAUCCAAAGUACAAUACCUACCAGUCCACAGAGUUGCUGGGAAGCGAAGUCGCAUAUUGCAACUGUCUGUUUGCAAAUAAAUUAUUAUUAAGGUUAGAGGCUAGCAUUAAUAUAAUGGUCAAUGUGGCAAUAAACCUUCAAUUUGGAUCUAAGCUGUAUCUAAGCUGUUCACUUUUUAUAGUUCAAAUUUUCUUUUUAUUUGCAUAUAUGCACAUAUUUUAAAUCACCUAUUUCCAGCAUUCAUUUUGCUUCUGGUGCAUAUGUUGCUAUGUCCCUUCAAGUUUACUCCAACAUACAGUGAUCUUAUCACACUAUACUGGCAAGAUUUAUUUAAAUGGGAUUUGCAAUUUUUUUUCAUUGGGGGAGAUGCAAUGUUACUUAGUCAAGUUCCUCAGUGCAUUUCCAUAUUUUAAGGAGGGAUUCAGAUGCUAGCCUCCCAUCAUUCUAAUCCAUUCAAACCACUACACCACACUGGAUUCUGUGGUGCAUAUUCUGUGCAUUAAUAUAAAAUUGUAGUUAUCUUACAAGGUGCUGCUUGAAUAUUAGCACCAACUUUUCAUACUUUAUUAGUUUUUGUUCCUGAAAUGGGAUACUGAAAACUCUUAUUGCCUUUUCUUUAUCUGCCUCUUUGGAUUCAUUGAUGUAUCUAAAAUAUCUCUGCUUAUAACCUUGGUGACUGGAAUAAUUGUGUUAUUUGGAUUUCAACUGGUUGUUUCACUUCUG